rnacentral:rRNA from 1 species
UUAAGCAUAUCAAUAAGCGGAGGAAAAGAAACUAACAAGGAUUCCCCUAGUAACGGCGAGUGAAGUGGGAAAAGCUCAACUUUGUAAUCUGGCUCUUUCAGAGUCCGAGUUGUAGUCUCGAGAAGCAUCAUCCGCGCCGGACCUUGGAUAUGUCUGUUGGAAAACAGCGUCAUAGAGGGUGACAAUCCCGUUUGUGCCAAGGACGCCCGUGUGCAUUGCGGUGUGCUUUCUAAGAGUCGAGUUGUUUGGGAAUGCAGCUCAAAUUGGGUGGUAAAUUCCAUCUAAAGCUAAAUAUUGGCGAGAGACCGAUAGCGAACAAGUACCGUGAGGGAAAGAUGAAAAGCACUUUGGAAAGAGAAUGAAACAGUAUGUGAAAUUGCUGGAAGGGAAACGUUUGAAGUUAGACUUGCUUUUGUCACAUUCAGCCUUUUAGGUGUACUUGUGGCUUGUGCAGGCCAGCAUCGGUUUGCUUUGCGGUAUAAGGGUGCAUGGGAUGUAGCUGCCUCGGCAGUGUUAUAAACUUGCACUGGAUGCCGAAUCGCAGACCGAGGUUCGCAGCGCGCCUUUUUUGGCAAUGGGCUUGCCCAUCGAGCGCUUAGGAUGCUGGUAGAAUAGCUUUAACCGACCCGU